rnacentral:rRNA from 1 species
GGACAAGGUUUUGACUCUGGUACCUUCAAGUGCCCGAGUUGUAAUUUGGAGAGGGCAACUUUGGGGCCGUUCCUUGUCUAUGUUCCUUGGAACAGGACGUCAUAGAGGGUGAGAAUCCCGUGUGGCGAGGAGUGCGGUUCUUUGUAAAGUGCCUUCGAAGAGUCGAGUUGUUUGGGAAUGCAGCUCUAAGUGGGUGGUAAAUUCCAUCUAAAGCUAAAUAUUGGCGAGAGACCGAUAGCGAACAAGUACAGUGAUGGAAAGAUGAAAAGAACUUUGAAAAGAGACUGAAAAAGUACGUGAAAUUGUUGAAAGGGAAGGGCAUUUUAUCAGACAUGUUGUUUAGUGCC